ensembl:lncRNA novel transcript
AUCAUCUGAGGUCAGGAGUUUGAGAGCAGCCUGGCCAACAUGGAGAAACCCCGUCUCUACUAAAAACACAAAAGUUAGCUGGGCGUGGUGACAGGGCGCCUGUAAUCCCAGCUACUCAGGAGGCUGAGGCAAGAGAAUCGCUUGAACCCGGGAGGCAGAAGUUGGAGUGAGCCAAGAUUGUGCCACUGCACUCCAGCCUGGGUGACAGAGCGAGACUGUCUCAAAAAAUAAAAUAAAAUGAAUAAUAAUAAUAAAUUAAGAGGUGGAGCUACUAAACAAAAAACAAAACAAAAAAAAACCUCUUGCAGAUAAACCUCCAACUCUACUUCCUUUGUUGGGCAGUUACAAUAAAUUUAAGUUGUCAAAACU